rnacentral:rRNA from 1 species
AGUUUGAUUCUGGCUCAGGAUGAACGCUAGCGGCAGGCUUAACACAUGCAAGUCGAGGGGUAACAUUGAUGCUUGCAUCAGAUGACGACCGGCGCACGGGUGAGUAACGCGUAUACAAUCUACCUUUAACAGGAGGAUACCCUUUAGAAAUGAAGAAUAACACUCCAUGGUAAUAUUAAAUCGCAUGAUUUAGUAUUUAAACAUUCAUGGGUUAAAGAUGAGUAUGCGUCCUAUUAGCUAGAUGGUAAGGUAACGGCUUACCAUGGCAACGAUAGGUAGGGGCCCUGAGAGGGGGAUCCCCCACACUGGUACUGAGACACGGACCAGACUCCUACGGGAGGCAGCAGUGAGGAAUAUUGGGCAAUGGAGGCAACUCUGACCCAGCCAUGCCGCGUGCAGGAUGACUGCCCUAUGGGUUGUAAACUGCUUUUAUACAGGAAGAAACACUCCCUCGUGAGGGAGCUUGACGGUACUGUAAGAAUAAGGACCGGCUAACUCCGUGCCAGCAGCCGCGGUAAUACGGAGGGUCCAAGCGUUAUCCGGAAUCAUUGGGUUUAAAGGGUUCGUAGGCAGAUUAAUAAGUCAGAGGUGAAAUCCCACAGCUCAACUGUGGAACUGCCUUUGAUACUGUUAGUCUUGAAUUAUGUGGAAGUAGAUAGAAUGUGUAGUGUAGCGGUGAAUGCUUAGAGAUUACACAGAAUACCGAUUGC